CAUCUGAAGAAGUGCAGAGCCUUAAACCAGAGUGACUACUUAAUUAAAUCAGUUGCUACAGUUGGUUAAAUUGAAUAGCUAUCUUCAGACUCUGAAAACUCAUAAUUCUUGAAGCUCCUGUCCAGCAGCCUUAGGAGGUUCAAGGAAUUUGAUUUGCCAAGAAUUAUGUGCCCCAUGAAACCACAGGAGCAAAUUCUGCAGAACAGAUGACAAGGGAUAGAGUAUUGCUUCUGAAGAGCUCAGACCCUUAAUGAGUUCAAGCUCUGCCUUCUUGUCGCUAAUUCCACCUUAGCUUGUCAGAAGAGAUUUGGCUGCUGGAAGAAUAUAACUGUGUUUCCACUGGAACUCUUAGGUGAUCAGCCCAGCUGAAUGAUGGGGUGAAGAUGGAGGCAAGGAAGGGAAUUCUCUCUGUGGACUGCAUCAGGAAGCCUGCCCAUGAGCUUCUCAGGAUACCUCAUCCUUGGACCUCCUCCCCCUAGCUGACCCAUGGACACCCCAAACACUCUCUGUGCUUCAUCCCCCCAUAGGACAGCUCUCUGAGCAAGCCGUUAUGGAUGACAAGUACAAGUGUCUCAUGCUGGCAGCUGGCUCAACUCUGCAGAAUUGGAAGAAGGCACAGAAUCUUGAGUAUUUUAGGGAACUGCUCCCGGAGAAGACAAACAGGAGGUUCUCAGCACCUGGCCUGGCUUUGCAGAACUGAGAGAAUACAAUCUUAAGAAUUCCCUGUAAGAGUAAAGAAGAGGUGUGGCAUGAGUGCUUUUAUUGUAAUAGGUAUGAAUAUUUAAGAAAACAAUAGCUGAAAACUCCCCAGAAAACUCCCCAGAUCUGGAGAGAGAUAUGAACAUCCAGAUUCAUUAAACUCAAAGAUCUUCAUACAGGUUCAACUCAAAGGAAGCUACAGGGAGACAUAUUAUAAUCACACUGACAAAAGCAAACAUAAAAAUAUAAUUUUGAAAGCAGCAAGAGAAAAGAGGUUUGUCACCUACAAGGGAAACUCCCUGAGGCUAUCAACAGAUUUCUCAGCAGAAACCUUGCAAAAAAUGGGGGAGAAGGAUACUAUAGUCAAAGUUCUGAAAUAAAAAAAACCUCUCAACCAAGAAUAUUUUGCUUGGCAAAGCUGACCUGCAGAUAUGAAAGUACGAUAAAGGCUUUCCAAGACAAAGUUGAGGGAGUUCAUCACCACUAGAUCUGCCUUCCAACAAAUGCCAAAGGGAGUUCUUCAAUAUGAAAUCAAAGGACACCUAUUAGUAAAAUGAAAACAUAUAAAAGUCUAAAACUCACCAAUAAAGGUAAUUACCCCA
rnacentral:lncRNA from 1 species